rnacentral:rRNA from 1 species
AUUGAACGCUGGCGGCAGGCCUAACACAUGCAAGUCGAGCGGAUGAAGGGAGCUUGCUCCUGGAUUCAGCGGCGGACGGGUGAGUAAUGCCUAGGAAUCUGCCUGGUAGUGGGGGAUAACGUCCGGAAACGGGCGCUAAUACCGCAUACGUCCUGAGGGAGAAAGGGGGGGAUCUUCGGACCUCACGCUAUCAGAUGAGCCUAGGUCGGAUUAGCUAGUUGGUGGGGUAAAGGCCUACCAAGGCGACGAUCCGUAACUGGUCUGAGAGGAUGAUCAGUCACACUGGAACUGAGACACGGUCCAGACUCCUACGGGAGGCAGCAGUGGGGAAUAUUGGACAAUGGGCGAAAGCCUGAUCCAGCCAUGCCGCGUGUGUGAAGAAGGUCUUCGGAUUGUAAAGCACUUUUAGUUGGGAGGAAGGGCAGUAAGUUAAUACCUUGCUGUUUUGACGGUACCAACAGAAUAAGCACCGGCUAACUUCGUG